UACGUAGGUCCCGAGCGUUGUCCGGAUUUAUUGGGCGUAAAGCGAGCGCAGGUGGUUUAUUAAGUCUGGUGUAAAAGGCAGUGGCUCAACCAUUGUAUGCAUUGGAAACUGGUAGACUUGAGUGCAGGAGAGGAGAGUGGAAUUCCAUGUGUAGCGGUGAAAUGCGUAGAUAUAUGGAGGAACACCGAUGGCGAAAGCGGCUCUCUGGCCUGUAACUGACACUGAGGCUCGAAAGCGUGGGGAGCAAACAGG
rnacentral:rRNA from 1 species